UGGUCCAGGGGGUCCUGCAACAACGAUGACUCAGGUUAGUCAAUUUUACAACAUCAGCUCCUCAGGCUGUAGGGGGGGGAGCCCACUCAAUUAUUCUAUCUUAUACUGCUCCCCGCCGCGGAAGAUAUUGAAUGAAAAGAAGAAGAUAGCGGGAAGCGAGGUGACCUGGCUCCCUCCGCUUCAAAGAUGAUUAAAGAUUUGAUUGAGUGAUUGAAAUUUGCAAGCAAAGGGGAGCGAGAUGACAAGAUGAUUGAAGAGCUUCACCUUUUUAUCUUUA
ensembl:ncRNA F01G12.16 ncRNA